UACGAAGGGUGCAAACGUUGCUCGGAAUUAUUGGGCGUAAAGAGCUCGUAGGCGGUCUGUCGCGUCGGCUGUGAAAUCCCUCGGCUCAACCGGGGAACUGCGUCCGAUACUGGCGGGCUUGAAUUCGGGAGAGGGAUGUGGAAUUCCAGGUGUAGCGGUGAAAUGCGUAGAUAUCUGGAGGAACACCGGUGGCGAAGGCGGCACUCUGGGGCCCGGUACUGACGCUGAGGAGCGAAAGCGUGGGGAGCAAAACAGG
rnacentral:rRNA from 1 species